rnacentral:tRNA from 1 species
GGGGUUGUGGCUCAGAGGUAGAGUGCUCGCCUAGCAUGUGUGAGGCCCUGAGUUCGAUCCUCAGCACCA